ACUUGGGUGGCUCAGUUGGUUAAGCAUCUGACUUCAGCUCAGGUCAUGAUCUCUCGGUUCAUGAGUUCGAGCCCAAGUC
rnacentral:tRNA from 1 species